rnacentral:lncRNA from 1 species
CCUGGACACUCUGUCAAUGUUCCACCUACAGACCUCUUCUGGUCCCUGGGGUCUGUUCCUUGAUUUCCUUACCGCCUCCUGGCUCCUGGGCAGAAUUACUUUUCUCCUAGGGACUAUUUGCUACUUGUGCGGCUAUGAUGGAGACAGUCCCAAGUGCAACCCUGUUUCAAGAUUUGUGGAAAUUCAAAUACUUUCCACCCCAUCCUGCCCUGAGUCAAAGAGAAACUACCAUCACCACUCACCCCAAAACCGGGGGUCGGGACAGCACGGCCUCUUCAAUAACUGGUGCUGGGCCAGCUGGACAUGCAUCUGGAAAAAACGCCAACUCCAACCUAACACCAUACACAAAGGUGGUUGGGAGAAAAGCCCACAUUUAGUUCGCGGAUGCUGUCCUCUUCGUCACCAUUAACCCCACCGAGCAGAGCGGUCACAGCCUCCCUGGGCUCUCCAUGCCUUCCAUGCC